rfam:Dipodomys ordii contig_836, whole genome shotgun sequence.
GGGAAUGUGGCUCAGUGGUAGAGUGCAGGCCUAGAAUGCAUGAAGUCUUAGGUUCCAUUCCUUAGUACCA